CCCAUUCUGGAUCUCCUCCUGGCUUACCAUGGCUUCCAGUCACUGCAAAACUGCCAAGCCCCUUGGUGUGAGUGCAGCUUUUAACCUGCUUCUUCCGUCUCGUAUCAGGGACUUGGAGGCUGUUUCUGAGAUCACUCCGCUGGAGGAGGGACCCUGAGGAUACAAGAGGAGAGAGACCAGGAAUGCUUCUACUUCAGGGAGUUUCAGCGUGUCUUCACUUGUACCAUUCACUUUAGGAUAAAACUUGUCAAGCACCAGUGAACUAAUGAUAUCAUGUAGUGAGCCAAAGAGCAAAAAUAAACAGCUCACACUAAGGACUCCAAGGAACAUCAGGAAGCAGCUGUCAGGGUGAUGAGAUGAGCCCACCCAUCCAGCUGGGAACCGCCAGGAAGUGCUGCUUCCUAGGAUGUGGUCUCCAACCCAAGGGGACCCAGGUCGAGAAAGCUCCAGACGGCAGAGUGCCAUCCCAGAUGGGAGAGGCAAGGAAAGACAUUUUAGAAGAACCGAGAUGCAGGGCAUGCUAUGGGAGAAGAGGUUGUCAAGCAAAUGGUUUUCUUGGACAGUCAUUUCAAGGGCUUUCUGGUUGGCUUCUGUGUCCCUGAUAGUGUUGCGACCCAUCAGUCUGUCCCCCAAUGUCAAGCUGAUUGGUUGUUUCUUUGUGAUGAACCCACAGCUCCUCAGCCUUCUGUACCCUCCUCUUACCCAGUUUUCUUAGACUUUUACCUCUUCUUGAUUUUUACUUUUCCUUCUCUCACUGACUUCUGUGGGACUCUCUCCCCAAGCAGCUCUUGCAGAUUCCAUCACACUCAGGCUGAAAAGCCUUCACCAGCCACAGGACCGGUCAUCCGCACAAAUCAAUGAUAUCCAGUAACUUUUACUUAGGUAAAUUCUUGUGGCCCACUGCUCUCGCAACACGCAUGGCGUGCUCAUGUGAACACCUGGCCCCCCGGGGUGGUGCUGUUACUCGAGGUUGAGGUUGUGGAAUCUUCUGGAGGGAUGGCUUACCUUAGAGUUGAGUCACUGAGUCGCUGGGGUGAGCCACGGCGGGUUUUCACUUGGUCCUGCUUCCUGUCCCUCUGUGCUGUUUGGUUCACUAACAUGUAAGAUGCUGCCUCCUUUCGCCACAGUCCAAACCUUUCCAGUCACCACACAUUCCCAGCCACGAUGGAUUGCACUUUCUAAAUCUAAGCCCAAUUGAACUUCUGCCCUGUUACUGGAAUUGUUAGGGUCAGGGUCUGGGCCCUGGCAGCCCUGACAAGCUAGGGUUGGCCCCUCAGUCUCAAUGGGACAAUUAGACAAGCCACAGCAGAAAGGAGAGGAAGAUUUAUUCAGUAUGGCCGCCUUGGGAAGAGGAACAAAUCAGCCCCAGUGACUCACACCCCAGUCUAUCUUUUUGGUACCGACAUGAGGUUUAGGUUUAAACAGAGGGCAAGAGGUGUGCAUAGCUACCCCGGCCCAGUCAAGGGGUCUUGCCCAUCACUAAGGAAUCAUCGGCUCAGCUCCUACAAGGUGGCCUAGCGCACUGUCAGUCUGUGAGAAAUCUCUUCUUGGGAGACAAGCUCCCCCUCUAGCUGGCAUCUCAUUCACGCCUCAGUCCUUUCUCUUCUCCCAGGAAGAGAUUCCUGGGGGAAAUUCCAGUUCCUUGGCGUCCGCUGUCUGAUAGCCAAAGGGGGAGACUAGGUGUCUUUCUUCUUGAUAUCAGAUAAACCCUCUCUGGUUGCUUUCUGUUGGGUAUCUCAUGACAGC